GUGCUGCAACCUUAUUUACGUUUAGCUAUCAUUUUCUACACUGCCUAACAGUUAUAUUUUUCUUGUAAAUUAACAAAAUUGUUCUGCUUUUCUAAGAUGAACCGAUGAAGACAGUUGUAAUUUCUUCCGCUUAUUUUAAGAGUAGCAACUAACAAGCUCAGUAAACAGUGAUCUUACCCCAGUUGUGUAAGCAGUUGUAUCCAUACUAGUGCCCGUUAUUGUCUAAAGAAGUAAAAAUAUGUAGUACGCACGCGAUUGUAUAAUCAGUAGUGGCGGAUGAAGCUCAAUAUUACACAAAGCAGUUACGUGCCAAUGUUUAAUCAGUUCAUUGCUUAUGAAAUUCGUAACUCAUACCUAAUUACUGAGAGGAUUAUGCAUGCAUAGACCUAACCUCGGGCAUGUCUUUGGCGGUCCACGCCAGGUUUCCGACUUCUUUUCAUAUCUAACUUAUCAACUAAGUCUGAAUUUAAAUCAUACAGACGAGUAUACCAAGGUCAGUGAUUUCCAGUCGAAAAGAGGGUAAAACAUGAAAAGUACUAGUACCAGGGCUGGUUUCCCCCAGUCGCCGACCCGAUUAGCCUUUUGUUCAUACCUAUGUUUUGUUUAUGUUUAAGGGUUUACUUCAAACGGAGCGCUACCAUCACUCAGCAGAUCUGAAGGUUAAAGUUGGCCAUAGAUCGUGCAUCUGGCAACGUUUUCUGGAGCCAUGGGACGCACCCUCAUUCUACCACAUCUGGGGAGCAACUGGAGAGCAGCCGGUCAUACUCAUAGUUUACAGUUUUAUACAGCAUUAUACAUUGUACAGAAAACUCAAUUGCGCCGAGGAAUCUUCGGCGCAUUUUUAAAACGUUUUUCAUUCUAAAAUACAAUACACUGUAUAAGUACUGUAUUUACAGGAUAGACAGACAAAACAAAAUUUGAAGUUACGGGUGGCAAAGGGGAGCGCUUCUCUUCUGAUUUCAGUAGCGAAUUUGAGAUAGAAGUGAAAAGUAAUUACACGAUAUUCAUCCGCAAAGAAUGCCAGGAAUUUGUUUUGUUGGCGGAUUUUAAGAGAUCCUGAACAUUGUUGUGCCCUUUGAAAGUGAAGAUGAAUCAUUUUGUCCGUACAAAAUGCCAUUUACAAGUCAAAUUCGUUUUGUCUAAACUUUGUAGCGCGAGUAUUUGCCUAGAAAAAGCUUCCAUGAUGAAAAAUUGUCGUCCACAAAGUUACGGCGUCAUUGCGUUAAGACCCGAUAUUUUUCGGUUGAAAGAAAAAUUGAUUAAUGUUGUUGAACUUAGUUGUCGAGAGAGAAUUUACAACAUGAUUACAUGCAUAGCAUACACAUUAUUAUUUUAGAAAGACGGGCAUUUUCAUGAAAGGGGAUCCCUCGAAAAGUUAGAAAUCAUGUCAUAACCAGUAAGUAAACAUAGCCCUGUCUCAUCUUUGAAGAUGUCUUUGUUAAUUUGAUGUUAACAAAUAUUAAAGGUUAGAUAUAAUAUGUAUCGAAAAAUAUACCCUUCACCCCUUUUAUUGCUGAAUUUUAAUAACAUUC